UUUUUCUAUAGGAGCUAAAGUUAUGUACAUAAAACAGAAAGAAAAGAGAUAACCUCGAUUCAAGUUUUCUUCACCUUUUCAGCAAAACAGUCGAUGAAACCUUUUUGAUUUUUAUACGAUAUAAAGUUUAGAUGGAAGAAAACGCGAAAUCAGAUUAAUUCAAAACACGCUAAUAUAAUUAAUUAUAGAUUAGAAGCAGACACAGCGUGGUAUCUUUUAGAUAAUUUAAAAAUGAAUCCUAAAUACUGUACAAAUAAACAUU